rnacentral:lncRNA from 1 species
AUUAACUGACAGCACAUCGACAGAGGCCUACUGAUGUUGCUGUUGUGAAUGACGGCCAUCUCUGGGGGAUUUUCUGCUUUCUUCUGUCCCGUACGAGGCUA